GGGUGGAUAGCUCAGUUGGUAGAGCAGCGGCCUUUUAAGCCGUUGGUCCUGGGUUCGAGUCCCAGUCCACCUACCA
rnacentral:tRNA from 2 species